UGCUCCAAUCUUUCUCUAGCGGCGGACGGGUGAGUAACACGUGGGCAACCUGCCCUGCAGAUCGGGAUAACUCCGGGAAACCGGUGCUAAUACCGAAUAGUUUGAGGCCUCUCCUGAGGCUUCACGGAAAGACGGUUUCGGCUGUCACUGCAGGAUGGGCCCGCGGCGCAUUAGCUAGUUGGUGGGGUAACGGCCCACCAAGGCGACGAUGCGUAGCCGACCUGAGAGGGUGACCGGCCACACUGGGACUGAGACACGGCCCAGACUCCUACGGGAGGCAGCAGUAGGGAAUCUUCCGCAAUGGACGCAAGUCUGACGGAGCAAUGCCGCGUGAGUGACGAAGGUUUUCGGAUCGUAAAACUCUGUUGUGAGGGAAGAACACGUACCAAUUAACUACUGGUACCUUGACGGUACCUCACCAGAAAGCCACGGCUAACUACGUGCCAGCAGCCGCGGUAAUACGUAGGUGGCAAGCGUUGUCCGGAAUUAUUGGGCGUAAAGCGCGCGCAGGCGGUCCCUUAAGUCUGAUGUGAAAGCCCACGGCUCAACCGUGGAGGGUCAUUGGAAACUGGGGGACUUGAGUGCAGAAGAGGAAAGUGGAAUUCCAUGUGUAGCGGUGAAAUGCGUAGAGA
rnacentral:rRNA from 1 species